UACGUAGGGGUGCAAGCGUUAUCCGGAAUUAUUUGGGCGUAAAGAGCUCGUAGGCGGUGCGGUAAGUCUGUAGUGAAAUCUCUGGGCUCAACUCAGAGUCUGCUAUAGAAACUGCCGUGCUUGAGUGUGGGAGAGGUGAGUGGAAUUCCCGGUGUAGCGGUGAAAUGCGCAGAUAUCGGGAAGAACACCUAUGGCGAAGGCAGCUCUCUGGGACGGUACUGACGCUGAGACGCGAAAGCGUGGGGAGCGAACAGG
rnacentral:rRNA from 1 species